GGAUCGUCAGAUUUGAAUAUUGGUGAUUCAGUACCGUAUAGAAGGAAUGCCUAAAAUUAUUGGAAUAUCGUCGUUGUAAAAUUGGUGGCUACAACAAGAUAGAGUAUAUAGUUCCAAUGCUUAAUCAUUGGGGAGGUUCAACUAGUAAACUUGAUGAUUAUUGGGGGAGCACCAACUGGUGUAAACUUGUUGGUAAUCCUGUAGCUUCUAAAAUGGUAAAGAAGGUCAACGCUAAUGAAGAUGGAUCCUCACCUCAUGCUUCUAUGCAUGCAACCCAAGAUAUUGGAACUGGGUGAUAGGUAUUUGGUUUAAUUGUAUACUUGGUCCUUUGUUUGAUGACCACUUUAAUGUUGGUCGCACCUAAUAGUAGGAUUUUGUGUAUUAGGAUAUCUUAGCCGAAAAAUUAGGUUUUAUACAUAUUUUGGACGGGUGUACAUCUUGGUGAACUAGUGCAAUAUCUAAGAAAAAGUAGGUUUGUGUA